rnacentral:rRNA from 1 species
GACGAACGCUGGCGGCGUGCUUAACACAUGCAAGUCGAACGGAAAGGCCUUUUCGGAGGUACUCGAGUGGCGAACGGGUGAGUAACACGUGGGUGAUCUGCCCUGCACUCUGGGAUAAGCCUGGGAAACUGGGUCUAAUACCGGAUAGGACCGCACUUUAGUGUGUGUGGUGGAAAGUUUUUUCGGUGUAGGAUGAGCCCGCGGCCUAUCAGCUUGUUGGUGGGGUAAUGGCCUACCAAGGCGGCGAUGGGUAGCCGGACUGAGAGGUUGGUCGGCCACAUUGGGACUGAGAUACGGCCCAGACUCCUACGGGAGGCAGCAGUGGGGAAUAUUGCACAAUGGGCGCAAGCCUGAUGCAGCGACGCCGCGUGGGGGAUGACGGCCUUCGGGUUGUAAACUCCUUUCGCCAGGGACGAAGCGUUUUGUGACGGUACCUGGAGAAGAAGCACCGGCUAACUACGUG